UCAAAAUGGGUCGGCGAUAAAAUUUCUGGAGAGAGCGCGGAGUGGGGAUUGUAGACAACCACUUUCCCGCUGUGCAGUGGCGUGGGGAGCGUAGGGCAGUGAGAUAGAAAGAAGAUACGUCGCCGACUCCGACAACUAUCUCAGACUGAGUUUGCAGAUCCACAGUCACCUGAAGAGAGGUGUAUUGUGGUCAUUUCGAAGGGAGGAUAAGCAAGUCGUGUUAGCAGACUCGUUUGCUCUCAAGGCAAGCGGGAGUGCGGAAUUGAUAAGAACUGUGUUUUGACUCGUCAUCUUCGAUCCAAGACCAAGUUUCAGACGCUUCUCCGGCGAGUUUCUUUUUUCUUUUUUUGGCUCUCUCUGUCUGUUUAGUUUCUUCGUGUCUCCGGUACUUUGAAGGGUCUAAAUUCAUCUCAACAUUUUGGCUGAUCUGGAUUUACUUCUAGAACGGACGAAGAUCAUGCAAAGAGGAAGAUGCCCUGUUUCCAUCAAUUUUGGUUCUGGCUCUUGUUUUCCUACUUGAUUCUUCAUUUCGGAGAUAGGUUUUACCUUCUGGCAAACAAAGUUCUUUUUCUUGAUUAACAAACAUAGAUAUUAGAGGCGGUAGGCAUUGUCCAAUCUUCUCAGUUCGCACAAGGCCCACAAUUGUAGAAGGGUAAUUCAGUAAAUUGAAUCAUAGAGCUCCUACUGUGAGAGUGUGAUAUACAUGACUUGCCAAACGGAAUGGAUCUGAGGCGUCCGUUGUGUAGUAUUUUCUUGGUCAUCGGGUGGGUUUGAUGGAUGCGUUCGCACAAGAAACCGAAUCCAAAAGGUGGAGAAAACUUGAACCACUCGAUAUAUAUCAAGAAAUCUCGAUAAAAAGCGCUUUGUCUCUCUCGGUCGUUCUCUUCCCUAUUCACUCUGUGUCUCAUCCAUGGCGAAAUCUUGAAACUCUUUUCAGUCAUGGCUUCCAUAGCCACCUGUUUCGCGGUGACAGCGAAGACGAAGUCUCGUCAUAGUUCUUAUCACACCCUGUCUUUAAAGUCCUCAUUAUUUUGCAGUUCUUUACGUUUUAAUACUUCGACCUUUCAUACUUCAAUUCUGCUUCAGAAUGCUUAUAGAUUUCAGAACCCGAGAGUUCCCUUUCCUGUUAUCAGAGCAGGCAUCGAAAUUCCUGAUGCAAUUAAACCUGGGAAUUCUUUUGAAACCGAUAAGUUGCCGUCAAAUGUUCGAAAUCGAGCAAUGAAGGCAGUUGAUUCCUGUGGAGGCAGAGUUACUAUCGGAGAUGUGGCAAGUAAAGCGGGUCUCAAGUUGAAUGAAUCUCAGAAAGCAUUGCAGGCGCUCGCCGCCGAUGCUGGUGGAUUUUUGGAGGUCUCAGAUGAAGGAGAUGUUCUUUAUGUUUUCCCAAAGGAUUAUCGCUCAAAGCUUUAUGCGAAAUCCUUCAGGAUGAGAGUUGAACCUUGGCUUGGAAAAGCAAAGUCUGCGGUUGAGUAUUUGAUUAGGGUAUCCUUUGGGACAGCUCUAAUUGCUUCAAUUGUAAUUGUCUACACCACAAUCAUUGCUCUUCUGUCAAGUAGAAGUGAAGAAGACAAUCGUGGAAGACGUGGCAGGUCAUAUGAUUCAGGCUUCACUUUUUUCUUUCGUCCAUCUGAUUUGUUUUGGUAUUGGGAUCCGUAUUACUACAGGAGGCGGCAGAUAAGAACAGACGAUGAUGGAAUGAAUUUUAUUGAAUCUGUUUUCUCAUUUGUGUUUGGCGAUGGUGAUCCAAAUCAAGGUAUUGAAGAAGAAAGGUGGAAGUUGAUUGGACAAUACAUAGCUUCAAAUGGGGGAGUCAUCACAGCAGAAGAGCUUGCUCCAUAUCUUGAUGUUCCACCAACAGCAGAAACUGUGAAUGAUGAAUCUUACAUUUUGCCUGUGUUAUUACGGUUUGAUGGUCAACCAGAAGUGGAUGAAGAGGGGAAUAUCCUUUAUCGAUUUCCUUCACUACAACGAACAGCUUCUUCUCAAAGGGUUGGGAGGAGGGAAUAUGUUGGGAAAAGAUGGGCUGAUUGGGUUGGAGGGGUCGAGAAAUUUUUCAAGGAGAAGAAAUGGCAAUUUAGUAAAACAGGGACCUCAGAGAAGGCAAUGGUUAUAGGUUUGGGUGGGCUUAAUCUUUUUGGAGUUAUUAUUCUUGGUACCAUGCUGAAGAACACUAGGGUUACACCAAGUGGGUUUAUUUCAUAUGUUGCUGACAUAUUUCCUUUGCUUCAGAUCUAUGCUGGCUCCUUUUUUGCAAUUCCUCUGUUCCGCUGGUUCCUCGUUCGCAAGAGAAAUGCUGAAAUAGAGAAGAGGAAUCAGGCAAGGGAACAGCGAGCUCGGGCACUUGAGUUGCCAGACUUGCCUCUGAGGCGAAAGCUUCUAGGUGCUCGAGACAUGGCUCAACGGACUGUAAUUGGGCCAGAGCGUAUUGUAUAUAGUACAGAGAGGGACUUGUAUGACCAAGACUAUGAGGCCCGAGAGUGGGACCAGAGAUUUCGGGAGAUCGAGAGAUCUGAUUGAGGCUCAGCAGGUCUCAUAUUUCUUGUGCCAUUUCAUUUUAUACCAUAGCAGGUGAUGAUUAACCAAAAAAAAAAAAAGGUGAGAUGCCUAUCAAGGGGUUGCAGUAAAGUUUUAUUGUACCUUCUGUAUAUUAUGUUUGCCACACGCAUGCAAUAGGCAAGAAGUGGGGAAGGUGGGAGUAGGCCAGCUGUAAUGGGAUUUUGUUUGUCAAUAUUAUUUGCAAACCCAAACAUUUAAGAGCAUUCUAUCACCUGCUCCAUUAAUCAGCUGUUAUAUUGUUUUUCAUUAGAUCAGAGACUGUUCCUCCCAGAAGGGGAAAGAAGGGUGGGUUGGAGGGCUUGGGUAUGGUACUAUAAUGUACUUUUAGCCACCAAAAUGAGAAAUGGAAACAUGGAAGAUAUCUUUCAAA